CGCAUGCGGUGUAACGCCAGAGGUUCGAUCCGAUCGCUGGAUUCUGAUUACGUUACGACAAAGAAGUGCAUGCACUAAGAAUUGGCAGAUGUGCACGUGCUGUUACUGAAAGGGUCAGGGAACGACGACGGACGCACUGGAGAGUCUAUAGCUGUCUUGAGGCUUGAUAGAGCUGCUCCUUUCUGACACAAUGCGUCCUUAAUCGCUUAACGACUAAGCGACAUUGGCGCGUUGUUUCUUCGAAAUUUUGCCAGUAAAUAAGGUGCUGAUAUAAGCGAAAGACCGCUUGCAUGCUGACUUUGCCAUGACUCAGCUGAAUUCGGCCCCAGGGAAAUGUGGGCGCAGGGGGUGGUAGCGGUUGCAAAGACCGAAUUUCAUGGCUGAAGGGAAGAAGGAAAGGAAGAUGAAAAGCUAUUUCGGUCAGACGUACGUAUGAGGCUCAAGAUGACUCUGUGACGUUCCUGUUGCUGCUGCUGCUGUUUCCGCAACGUCUGCACUUCCAGAUGCUAUUGCUAUUGGUUUGGUGCAUAAAAGCUACGCGCGGGGGCUACUUUUCACCAUUCCGUUCUUGGUUUGCCUGCCUGCCUGUUUUUACGGCACGGUAGCACGA